rnacentral:rRNA from 1 species
GAUGAACGCGGCGGCAUGCUACACAUGCAAGUCGAACGGCAGCACGGGUGCUUGCACUGGUGGCGAGUGGCGAACGGGUGAGUAAUACAUCGGAACAUGUCCUGUAGUGGGGGAUAGCCCGGCGAAAGCCGGAUUAAUACCGCAUACGAUCUAUGGAUGAAAGCGGGGGACCUUCGGGCCUCGCGCUAUAGGGUUGGCCGAUGGCUGAUUAGCUAGUUGGUGGGGUAAAGGCCUACCAAGGCGACGAUCAGUAGCUGGUCUGAGAGGACGACCAGCCACACUGGGACUGAGACACGGCCCAGACUCCUACGGGAGGCAGCAGUGGGGAAUUUUGGACAAUGGGCGAAAGCCUGAUCCAGCAAUGCCGCGUGUGUGAAGAAGGCCUUCGGGUUGUAAAGCACUUUUGUCCGGAAAGAAAUCCUUGGCUCUAAUACAGUCGGGGGAUGACGGUACCGGAAGAAUAAGCACCGGCUAACUACGUGCCAGCAGCCGCGGUAAUACGUAGGGUGCAAGCGUUAAUCGGAAUUACUGGGCGUAAAGCGUGCGCAGGCGGUUUGCUAAGACCGAUGUGAAAUCCCCGGGCUCAACCUGGGAACUGCAUUGGUGACUGGCAGGCUAGAGUAUGGCAGAGGGGGGUAGAAUUCCACGUGUAGCAGUGAAAUGCGUAGAGAUGUGGAGGAAUACCGAUGGCGAAGGCAGCCCCCUGGGCCAAUACUGACGCUCAUGCACGAAAGCGUGGGGAGCAAACAGGAUUAGAUACCCUGGUAGUCCACGCCCUAAACGAUGUCAACUAGUUGUUGGGGAUUCAUUUCCUUAGUAACGUAGCUAACGCGUGAAGUUGACCGCCUGGGGAGUACGGUCGCAAGAUUAAAACUCAAAGGAAUUGACGGGGACCCGCACAAGCGGUGGAUGAUGUGGAUUAAUUCGAUGCAACGCGAAAAACCUUACCUACCCUUGACAUGGUCGGAAUCCUGAAGAGAUUCGGGAGUGCUCGAAAGAGAACCGGCGCA